rfam:Drosophila grimshawi strain TSC#15287-2541.00 scaffold_15245 genomic scaffold, whole genome shotgun sequence.
UUUAUAUGAUGAUAUCUAUUCAGUUCUGCUACUGAAGAAUUUUGACGAAAGCAAAAAUACCAAAAUCACUGAAAA